UACGUAGGGGGCGAGCGUUGUCCGGAUUCAUUGGGCGUAAAGCGCGCGCAGGCGGUUGCGUGAGCCCGGCGUGAAAGCCCCCCGCUCAACUGGGGGAGGCCGUCGGAGACCGCGCGACUUGAGGCCGGUAGGGGAGAGCGGAAUUCCCGGUGUAGUGGUGGAAUGCGUAGAUAUCGGGAGGAGCACCAGUGGCGAAGGCGGCUCACUGGCCCGGUACUGACGCUGAGGUGCGAAAGCGUGGGGAGCAAACAGG
rnacentral:rRNA from 1 species